GGUGGGGCUCAGUGGCAGAGCGCUCGCCUUGCACGUGGGAGGCCCUGGGUUUGAUCCUCAGCACC
rnacentral:tRNA from 1 species